rnacentral:rRNA from 1 species
UACGUCGGGGGCAAGCGUUGUCAGGAAUUAUUGGGCGUAAAGCGCGCGCAGGUGGUUUCUUAAGUCUGAUGUGAAAGCCCACGGCUCAACCGUGGAGGGUCAUUGGAAACUGGGGAACUUGAGUGCAGAAGAGGAAAGUGGAUGACCAAGUGUAGCGGUGAAAUGCGUAGAUAUUUGGAGGAACACCAGUGGCGAAGGCGACUUUCUGGUCUGUAACUGACACUGAGGCGCGAAAGCGUGGGGAGCAAACAGG